rnacentral:rRNA from 1 species
AGCGAACGCUGGCGGCAGGCCUAACACAUGCAAGUCGAACGAACUCUUCGGAGUUAGUGGCGGACGGGUGAGUAGCACGUGGGAACGUGCCUUUUGGUUCGGAAUAACUCAGGGAAACUUGUGCUAAUACCGAAUGUGCCCUUCGGGGGAAAGAUUUAUCGCCAUUAGAGCGGCCCGCGUCUGAUUAGCUAGUUGGUGAGGUAACGGCUCACCAAGGCGACGAUCAGUAGCUGGUCUGAGAGGAUGACCAGCCACACUGGGACUGAGACACGGCCCAGACUCCUACGGGAAGCAGCAGUGGGGAAUCUUGCGCAAUGGGCGAAAGCCUGACGCAGCCAUGCCGCGUGAAUGAUGAAGGUCUUAGGAUUGUAAAAUUCUUUCACCGGGGACGAUAAUGACGGUACCCGGAGAAGAAGCCCCGGCUAACUUCGUG